rnacentral:rRNA from 1 species
UACAGAGGGGGCAAGCGUUGUUCGGAAUUACUGGGCGUAAAGGGCGCGUAGGCGGCCUGUUAAGUCGAACGUGAAAUCCCCGGGCUCAACCCGGGAACUGCGUUUGAUACUGGAUGGCUUGAGUUUGGGAGAGGGAUGCGGAAUUCCAGGUGUAGCGGUGAAAUGCGUAGAUAUCUGGAGGAACACCGGUGGCGAAGGCGGCAUCCUGGACCAAUACUGACGCUGAGGCGCGAAAGCUAGGGGAGCAAACGGG